rnacentral:rRNA from 1 species
UGCAGUCGAGCGCCUGUAGCAAUACAGGAGCGGCGCACGGGUGCGUAACACGUGGGAAUAUGCCUUUUGGUACGGAACAACCACUGGAAACGGUGGCUAAUACCGUAUGGUCCCUCCGGGGUAAAGAUUUAUUGCCAAAAGAGUAGCCCGCGGCAGAUUAGCUAGUUGGUGAGGUAAUGGCUCACCAAGGCGACGAUCUGUAGCUGGUCUGAGAGGACGAUCAGCCACACUGGGACUGAGACACGGCCCAGACUCCUACGGGAGGCAGCAGUAGGGAAUAUUGGACAAUGGGGGAAACCCUGAUCCAGCCAUGCCGCGUGAGUGAUGAAGGCCUUCGGGUUGUAAAGCUCUUUUAUCCACGAAGAUAAUGACUGUAGUGGAAGAAUAAGCCCCGGCUAACUUCGUGCCAGA